AUGGUAUUACACCGGAUGGUAUUGCACCGGAUGGUAUUGCACCGGAUGGUAUUGCANNNNNNNNNNACUGGUACAACUGGUUGUGAUAUGCUAAGUUUUAAUUUUGAGGAAACUAAUUUAUCUUGUCAAAACAGUUAUGCUAAAAACUUUAUAAGCAAUAUGAAACAAGACUAUAACAGUUAUUUAGAAUAUAAAAAAAAAAAAGUAGAUUAUGAGUUAAUCGGUUUUAGUGCUAACGAGAUUAAAAACACAUUUAGUAAUAUAAAAAAAUUAAAAGAAUAUGUAAAUAUGUUUAUAAGUAUUAAAGAUAUUUUGUUAGAGAUAUUUUGUGGGGAUAACGACUUACUUGAUUCGAUUAAUGAAUUCAUUUCAGAAGCAAACAAUAUAAAUGUUAAUUUUUCUGACAAUUUUGAAAAUACUAAUCUUCUUAAUGAUAAUACAAACAAAAGAAUGCAAGAUGGUGUAAAUGUUGAAGUUGGAAAUCGUUUGAAUAAUGUUACAUUAAAUGCUGGUUUUUCUGGUAUGUAUGGCAAAGACAUUACUACAUUUGACGACCAUAAUGGUCCUACUUGUAAAAGCGAAUCUAAAAACAUACACAAUCAAAUAAAUUAUUAUUUAUAUAAAUUCGGCAUUGCUGGUAAAAUAGAAAAAGAAAUAAACUUGAAAUUAUUAAUAAACUGCUUUAUGUCUAGAUUUGCAUAUGAUUAUUUAAUUAUGAUUAAUCCGAAUUUAAAAAAAGAACAUUCGGAGAAACUUAUUAAUUCUGCUUUGUUGUACAUGUUAAUAAUGAAUAGAAAAAACUUUUUACAUGAGUGUAUAAGUGCUGUUAUAAACAUAUUAAACAUAUUUAAAAAUUAUAAUUUAAAAUUAAAAUUUUUAAAACAAAAAGAGAAAAAUUUAAAAACGGAUAUGAAUAAGGAAUCGGGUUGUGGCAAAAUGGGUUGUGGCAAAAUGGGUUGUGGCAAAAUGGGAGGUGAAAAAAUGGGAGGUGAAAAAAUGGGAGAUGACAAAAAUAAAACCGUUUUAGAUAAACUUAUGAAAAAACAACAAAAAAUAAUAAACAAAGCAACUAACACAAUUCAGUUGGGUACAAAAAAUUUAACACAAUUAACAUUAACAGAACGACAUUAUUUUACUAUACGAAAUAAAAAGAAUAAUAAAAAAAUUUUGUAUAAAAAUUUAGUUUAUAAUUCAGACUCCUCAGAUGUAUCGACUUGUUAUUUUUCAAGUGACCAAGAUGUUUAUACUGGUACACAGAAAAAUGCUAUUUUAUCCGAUAGUGUUGAUGAAUCACCGGGUAAGUUAUGGGUAGAUGAGUUAGAGUGGAGUACAUUCGAUUUGCAAAAUGAACACGACAAGAAUGGGAAAAAUGGAAUAAACGAAAAAAAAAAAAAAGUAAUGGAUGGGAAAAAUGGAACGGAUGGAACGGACGACUGUCACUACACGCAUGACUGUUACUACACGUACGACCCCAGAUUCCUUAUUUUCGAAUACAAAAAUAAUUUAGUAAUCAGAAGAAAACAAGUUAAAAUGAUUAAAAAAAUGAAAAGAGAUUUUAUAAAAAAAAGGAAACAAUAUUGUUAUCAGAUGAUUAUGGGUGGAGGUAAAACAACUGUAUUAACACCUUUAUAUUUUUUAAUAUUUUCUAAUUAUUAUUUAGUUUUUAAUAUGUGUCCUCAACCAUUAAUUCAUUUUACAAUUAAUACGUUUAGAUCUCGUUUUUCUUCUAUCAUAAAAAAAAAUAUUUUUUAUUUUAAUUUUAAUCGUUAUGAUCAUAUUACUACUGAUCUGUACAUAAGUUUAUGUUCUGCUUUGGAAAAUAAGUACAUUUUGGUAACUACACCUACAGCUAUUAAAUCAUUAUUUUUAAAAUUAAUAUAUACAAUACAAGAAUUGAAUAAUAUGAAAAUAUUUGACAUUAUUAAACAAAAAGCUAAAACACAUAUAACAGAUACAUUAAGUAAAUUGUUAGGUUUUCAAAAUGAAGAUAGUUUUUUAAAUACAUCUAAUACAGGUAAUGUAUUAAAAAAAACAAGUACUGGUCAUCCAAUAGGGAAAGGUAAUAAUGUUACAUCAUGUGUAGGUAAUAUUGGAGGUAUUGCUACUGGUACUGGUAUUAGUGGGGGUUUAUCAGGAAGUAAUACCGCAAGUCCUAUUGAUUAUAAUAUGUUAAAAAAACAACUUGAUUUAUCAAUAAGAAUAUUAGACAUAUUAAAUAAAAGUAUUUUAUUAAUUGAUGAAAUAGAUAGUGUUUUACAUCCGUUGAAAAGCGAGUUACAUUGGCCUUAUGGUGCAAAUAGAGAUAUUGAUUUAGUAAAUAUUUUACGAAAAUUUACAGAUGUUUUUAUAAAUAAUCCAUACUUAAAAUUUUUACAUGACAAAAAAAAUGAUGAAGUUGAUAUAAAAAAUGUAAAAAUUAUUUCAGUAAAUCAAAACGAAGUAAACAGUAAUUUGAUAAACAAUAUUAAGCAGUUAAAAGAGCAGGAACAUUUGAGACAACAAGAACAAUUAGGAACAGAAUUAGGAGGAGAAAAAAUAGGGUCUGGAAAAACGAACAAAAAAUAUACAACUGGUGAUGUAGAUAAUUAUACAGCAGAUAAUAACAUUUUAUUAUUAAACAAAAGUAAAAUAAAAAAUAAAAAUAUUACUCUAGAAUCUAAUAAAAAUUAUGAAUCAUAUGGGUAUAAUUACCAUACUAGUGAUGGUUAUAGUAUAAAUAGCCAUAAUAAAAAUAGCCAUAAUACAAAUAUCCAUAAUACAAAUAUCCAUAAUAUAAAUAAGCUUAAUAUAAAUAAGCAUAAUAUAAAUAAACACAAUAUAAAUAAACACAAUAUAAAUAAUUAUAAAAAGAGUCUUCUUGAAGGUUCUACCUCUUAUGGAUCGACUAAUACAUCUAUAAGUAACAAUAUGAAUAUUACAUUGAAUAACACAAAUAUAAUAACUAAAAGUAUGGGAACAGGAAAUAUAAAUAAUUCUACUGUAACUGGUCCCACCACAUCAGUUAGCCAUAUCGAUCUAAGUCUAUUCCGAUAUAAACUAAGUUGGAUGCUUAUUGAUUUUAUGUUUUAUCCUUUUAGUAAAAAAUUAACUAUACCAUAUAACGUCAAAUUUAAUAGUAACACAGAAUAUAUACAUGAAUUACUUCAAAUAUAUCAAAAAGAAAUAGAAAAAGGAAUAAAAAAUCAUUAUAUUUCUGUUACUCCUCACUUUUAUAUAAUUAAUUUUAAAUGGUAUGAUGAUAUUUUAUGGAUAUUAGUUCGUUAUGUUUAUUAUAUAUUAAUGUCUUAUAAAAUAUAUGGAAUACCCCAACAUUAUGUAGAGGCUUAUUUGUGUAUUCCAUUAAGUGUAGGUUAUAAUGAUUUACGUUGUACUACUUCUACUACUACUACUACAACUAGUAUUUGUGGCAAUAUGAAUGAAUAUAAAUUUUAUAACAAUAAUUCAACCAGUAGUCGUAAUAAUAAUUUAAGUAAUUCAACUAUAAAACGAUUGUUAAACAUAAGAAAGUUAAAAAAUAAAAAUCUAAACUUAAACAAUUGUAAUAACAAUUUUAAUAAAGAAAAUGUAACUAAUACAGAUUCUUAUAUUUUUACAAGUGAAUAUCUUUUAAAAAUAUUUGAAAAAAUUAACGAAUUAGAUUAUGUUUUUUGUAAAUUAAUUAAUUUUUGUCGUUUAUAUUUGAACGGUAUUUUACCUUUUGUUUUUUCCAAAAUAAAUACAGUACAUUAUGGUAUAUUAUCAGCUGAACAAAUAAAUAAAUGUCAAAUAAUUAUGAGUAAAAGUAGAUAUUUUUUAGCAGUACCUUAUAUAGGGAAAGACACUCCAUCAAAUAUGUCCGAGUUUACUAAUGUUGAUGUUGUUGUUUCUUUAACUAUUUUAUCAUAUAGAUAUCAAGGCAUGAGGUAUUUUGAUUUUAUUCUUGCACUUAAAAAUAUUUUAUAUUUAUAUACAAUGGAAAAAGAUACUCAACAUAUUAAAAAAAGCGACACAGAUAACAGUUCAGAGUAUUCAGAGGACAACGCAAGAAUAAUUAAUAGUGAUGAUGUACGAAAGAAAAAAACUCAAAAAAAAAAGAGAAAAAUUUUUAAGCGAAAUAACAAAAUGGGAAAAACAAUAAUAGAUUCUGUUACUUAUGGUGGUAAUACUGUUUCUGAUAAUGCACAUGUGGGGAAAAAAUUGCCACAAAAAAUCGUAGGUGUUAAUAUAAAUACAGCUACGUCUACGGCUACGGCUACAAUUACGACGGAGGCAAAACCAUUAAAUAAUAAUGACACUUAUUUUGAUAAAAUUGGAAUCACUCAAGUGAAUAAGAAAAAUAUUUAUCAUGAGAAGAUUCAUGGAGAUGGAAAAGACAUGUAUCGAAAUGGCUCUUACGACAGUAGUACAAACAGUAGUAGCACAACUGGUAGUAACACGGACGAAUGUAGUACAAAAGAUAGUACAAACGGUAGUAGUACAAAUGGUAGUGGUACAAAUGGUAGUGGUACAAACGGUAGUGGUACAAACGGUAGUGGUACAAACGGNNNNNNNNNNGUGGUACAAACGGUAGUGGUACAAACGGUAGUGGUACAAACGGUAGUAGUACAAACGGUAGUAGUACAAACGACAGUAGCGGGCACGACGAUGACACCUACAAUUUUCAACACGGCCCGAACGAUAAACAUAAACCAGACAAAUGUAAAACCACACCUCGACCAAAUAUAGAGAUAAAAAAUAUGUAUGAUUUAUAUAAAGAAAUUGUCGAAACUAGUGGAGCAAAGAUUAGAAGAACAAAAAAAGACAUAAAUAAUAGUAAUUUUUUUUUAUAUGAUAAUAAUUUAAAAAAAAAAAAAAAAAAAUAGAAAAAAAGAGUAUGGUCAAUAUGUGAGUAAUCUUGAUAAAAUAGAUUUAAAAGAUAGUGAAAAUUUGUAUUACUUAUAUAAUUUAACACGUAAAAAUACAUUACUAAUUAGUUAUUUUUUAUUAAAUAUAAUAUUAGAGAAAUAUAUAAAACAUACAGAAAAACAAUUAUCUUCGAAUUCUCAAGAUUUGACAAAUAAUAUAUUGUUUAAAUAUGUAGUAGGAUAUAGUGGUACGAGUAAUGAUGUAUUACCUGAAGAAAUACAUAAAUGUAAAUAUGAAAAAAGAACAAUAGGUUCUAUCUUAAAUAUAAUAAAUGAUAUAAAUAUUGUUAAUUUUAUUUUUUU
ensembl:lncRNA